rnacentral:rRNA from 1 species
GUACAACUCUGAGCGGUGGAUCACUCGGCUCGUGUGUCGAUGAAGAGCGCAGCCAACUGUGUGAAUUAAUGUGAACUGCAUACUGCUUUGAACAUCGACAUCUUGAACGCACAUUGCGGCCAUGG